rnacentral:rRNA from 1 species
GUAGGGAAUAUUGGGCAAUGGAUGCAAGUCUGACCCAGCCAUCCCGCGUGCCGGAAGAAGGCCCUCAGGGUUGUAAACGGCUUUUGACGGUGAAGAAUCGACAGGAUGCGUCCUGUUUUGACGGUAGCCGUUGAAUAAGCACCGGCUAACUCCGUGCCAGCAGCCGCGGUAAUACGGAGGGUGCGAGCGUUGUCCGGAUUUAUUGGGUUUAAAGGGUGCGUAGGCUGGAAGGUCAGUCAGCGGUGAAUAGCUGUCGCUUAACGAUAGUCUUGCCGCAGAUACUUCCUUUCUUGGCUGAGGAGGAGGCCAGUGGAACGGAUGGUGUAGCGGUGAAAUGCAUAGAUAUCAUCCAGAACACCGAUUGCGAAGGCAGGUGGCUGUACCUUAAUCGACGCUGAUGCACGAAAGCAUGGGGAGCAAACAGGAUUAGAAACCCUGGUAGUCC